AGUCGUACACUGAAAUAUCUUCCCAGCUUCUUUCCUCUCCCCCUCUGUGCACGACUCCGGCCGAUCCCUCCGCCUCCCUUUCUUUCCCCUACCUCCAGCGGGGGCUCCGCCCAAACCCGCCGCCCCCUUCGCGUCGCCCUGCACCAGCGAUGCGCGGUCCCGGGCGCCAUGGCCUCCCCAGCACGGGCGGCACCGGGUACCACGGCGGCACCACCGCCCCAGUAAUGCCGAUGCCGGCCACCCCGGCGGUGCGGCCGCGCUAGCAUGAGCAGCCCCGUGGGCCCUGCGGGAGCCCUUGCAAGGGCGCCGCCAGGCCACCCGACGGCGCCACCGCUCCGGCACGGGCCAAGCCAGUGGCCGUAGCACGGGCGCCCCCCUGCGCGUCGGCCUCAACGACCGGCCCUGCCUGGUCGUGUCUUCCUCUUCCCCGGCUACUGCUCCGCUCGGCAGGUGGCCUUUGCCAAGGCGCGUCACCUCAGCGACCGGAUCUGGUGAGUGGCCGCUGCGGCAGCAUGUGCUACCUCCCCUCUACACGCCGGUCGCAUCCACCGCCUCCGUGGCUGCCGUUUUCGCCGUUGGUCUUCCUCUUCACCUCCGCCAACCCCCGUGCUUUGCGUUUUCAACCCCCCUACGAACGCAAGCUAGGCUUAGCGGUGCCGAGGGAGGUCUAGCAGUUCCACCUCCACCAUGGAUUCUUUGAUCAGGACUAAUAUUUUUCAUCACACGGCUAAAUAGAGUUAAGGCUUCAAGAGUCUUCUCUCCUUUCUUGAUUGCUGUCCACAUCUUCUUUGCCUUCCAUUCCAUAAGACAUGGAGUACUAUCACUUUCAUGGUGUUUUUUUUUUUGGCAGAAUCUGUGUUCCAAUCACCCACGAACUGCACUUCGCAGGUCAGGUAGCACAGAAAAAAACAGAGAGGCAGCAUAGGACCAGAAGAGAAUUGAAAACUGAAGCCCAUGUUGAGAUCAUUGCCACAAUUGGGUGGCACUCCAUGUAGCAGACUAUCAACCUUGGAGCAAAACAUUAUGCCUGAACACCACAUAGUACCAGGUCUCUAUAUCCAGAUAUGGAACACCUGCUUUUUCUACGACCACUAAAAUAUUCUUCCUAUAAUUGGAGAGGCACUGCAGUUGAGAUCAAUAUGGUGGAUCUGUUGAUUACGUCAGCUGUAUUCUUCUCUAUUCUUUUCGAAUGGUUGGGUUGUGGAUGUGUUGUUGCAAAUGCAUGUAUUUUAUUGGUGCCCUUUGUGUUGUUUCCUGUUGAGAUUCGAUAAGCACUUCCUUGGCUAAAUCAUCUUGCUCUCCCCCCACUGUGGUUGGACUGACAACCUUCUUAGGAAUUAGAGAAACAUGGACCUUUGGUGUAUACGUUCCUGCUAAUAUUGAGAGGAGAGAUCCAAAUGUUUCUUCAUCUACCUUUGUUGCUUGGAAUGUUUGGCAUCAUCAUAUAUUUGUAAAUUAGCUUUCGACACA